rnacentral:rRNA from 1 species
AGAGUUUGAUCAUGGCUCAGGACGAACGCUGGCGGCGUGCCUAAUACAUGCAAGUCGAGCGGAUUUAUCCUUCGGGAUAAGUUAGCGGCGGACGGGUGAGUAACACGUAGGUAACCUGCCUAUAAGAUCGGGAUAACUAUCGGAAACGAUAGCUAAGACCGGAUAACUGGUUUUCUCGCAUGAGAGAAUCAUGAAACACGGAGCAAUCUGUGGCUUAUAGAUGGGCCUGCGGCGCAUUAGCUAGUUGGUGAGGUAACGGCUCACCAAGGCGACGAUGCGUAGCCGACCUGAGAGGGUGAACGGCCACACUGGGACUGAGACACGGCCCAGACUCCUACGGGAGGCAGCAGUAGGGAAUCUUCCGCAAUGGACGCAAGUCUGACGGAGCAACGCCGCGUGAGUGAUGAAGGUUUUCGGAUCGUAAAGCUCUGUUGCCCUAGACGAACAGCAAGGAGAGUAACUGCUCUUUGUGUGACGGUAUAGGAGAAGAAAGCCCCGGCUAACUACGUGCCAGCAGCCGCGGUAAUACGUAGGGGGCAAGCGUUGUCCGGAAUUAUUGGGCGUAAAGCGCGCGCAGGCGGUCAAUUAAGUUGGGUGUUUAAGCCCGGGGCUCAACCCCGGUUCGCAUCCAAAACUGGUUGACUUGAGUGUAGGAGAGGAAAGUGGAAUUCCACGUGUAGCGGUGAAAUGCGUAGAGAUGUGGAGGAACACCAGUGGCGAAGGCGACUUUCUGGCCUAUAACUGACGCUGAGGCGCGAAAGCGUGGGGAGCAAACAGGAUUAGAUACCCUGGUAGUCCACGCCGUAAACGAUGCAUACUAGGUGUUGGGGAUUCGAUUCCUCGGUGCCGAAGUUAACACAGUAAGUAUGCCGCCUGGGGAGUACGCUCGCAAGAGUGAAACUCAAAGGAAUUGACGG